rnacentral:misc_RNA from 1 species
AAGGAGCUUUAAACACUCCCAACCCUUUGUUAUACAUACCUACAUGUUGCUUCGGCAGGCAGCCCCAGGGCGGGGCUGUAGCCUUUUUAGGUGCCUGCCGGAGGUAUCAAACUCGUCAUUUUUAGUGUCUGAGUAUCUAUAAAAAUAAAUCA